AUUGAACGCUGGCGGCAUGCUUUACACAUGCAAGUCGAACGGCAGCGGGGAGGAGCUUGCUUCUCUGCCGGCGCGUGGCGAACGGGUGAGUAAUACAUCGGAACGUGUCGAGAAGAGGGGGAUAACCACCCGAAAGGGUGGCUAAUACCGCAUAAAUUCUGAGGAAGAAAGCUGGGGACCUAGGAAUAGGCCUAGCGCUUUUUGAGCGGCCGAUGUCGGAUUAGCUAGUUGGUGAGGUAAAGGCUCACCAAGGCGAAGAUCUGUAGCGGGUCUGAGAGGAUGAUCAGCCACACUGGGACUGAGACACGGCCCAGACUCCUACGGGAGGCAGCAGUGGGGAAUUUUGGACAAUGGGGGCAAGCCUGAUCCAGCCAUGCCGCGUGUAUGAAGAAGGCCUUAGGGUUGUAAAGUACUUUUGUUAGGGAAGAAAAGCCAGCUGUGAAUAAUGGCUGAUACUGACGGUACCUAAAGAAUAAGCACCGGCUAACUACGUG
rnacentral:rRNA from 1 species